rnacentral:rRNA from 1 species
CCUACGGGCGGCAGCAGUGAGGAAUAUUGGUCAAUGGGCGCGAGCCUGAACCAGCCAAGUCGCGUGAGGGAAGACGGCCCUAUGGGUUGUAAACCUCUUUUGUCGGGGAGCAAAGAGCGCCACGCGUCCCGUUCCGAGAGUACCCGGAGAAAAAGCAUCGGCUAACUCCGUUCCAGCAGCCGCGGUAAUACGGAGGAUGCGAGCGUUAUCCGGAUUUAUUGGGUUUAAAGGGUGCGCAGGCGGAAGAGCAAGUCAGCGGUAAAAUUGAGAGGCUCAACCUCUUCGAGCCGUUGAAACUGGUUUUCUUGAGUGAGCGAGAAGUAUGCGGAAUGCGUGGUGUAGCGGUGAAAUGCAUAGAUAUCACGCAGAACUCCGAUUGCGAAGGCAGCGUACCGGCGCCCAACUGACGCUCAUGCACGAAAGCGUGGGUAUCGAACAGGAUUAGAUACCCCUGUAGUC